rnacentral:rRNA from 1 species
GACGAACCGUGCGAACGUUGUUCGGAAUCACUGGGCUUAAAGGGCGCGUAGGCGGUCUGCCAAGUCCGGGGUGAAAGCCCCCAGCUCAACUGGGGAAGUGCCUUGGAUACUGGCGGACUCGAGCGAGGCAGGGGUCGUGGGAACUUCCGGUGGAGCGGUGAAAUGCGUUGAUAUCGGAAGGAACGCCGGUGGCGAAAGCGCACGACUGGUCCUCUUCUGACGCUGAGGCGCGAAAGCCAGGGGAGCAAACGGGG